CCUACGGGAGGCAGCAGUGAGGAAUAUUGGUCAAUGGGCGCGAGCCUGAACCAGCCAAGUAGCGUGAAGGAUGACUGCCCUACGGGUUGUAAACUUCUUUUAUAAAGGAAUAAAGUGAGGCACGUGUGCCUUUUUGUAUGUACUUUAUGAUUAAGGAUCGGCUAACUCCGUGCCAGCAGCCGCGGUAAUACGGAGGAUCCGAGCGUUAUCCGGAUUUAUUGGGUUUAAAGGGAGCGUAGAUGGGGUGUUAAGUCAGUUGUGAAAGGUUGCGGCUCAACCGUAACAUUGCAGUUGAUACUGGCAGACUUGAGUGCAGUUGAGGUAGGCGGAAUUCGUGGUGUAGCGGUGAAAUGCUUAGAUAUCACGAAGAACUCCGAUUGCGAAGGCAGCUUACUAAACGGCCACUGACAUUGAUGCUCGAAAGUGUGGGUAUCAAACAGGAUUAGAUACCCCAGUAGUC
rnacentral:rRNA from 1 species